rnacentral:rRNA from 1 species
ACUCAAAUGAAUUGACGGGGACCCGCACAACCGGUGGAGCGUGUGGUUCAAUUCGAGACAAAACGAAGAACCUCACCAGGGCUUGACAUAAUACCGUACAUUUCUGUGGAAACACGGAGAAAUCCGCAAGGAUGGUAUUACAGGUGCUGCAUGGCUGUCGUCAGCUCGUGCCGUGAGGUGUUCCCUUAAGUGGGGAAACGAGCGCAACCCCUGUCUAAUGUUAAAUAUUCAUUAGAUACGGUCUUUGAUUUUUCAAAGAAGGAAGGAAGGGAAGACGUCAAGUCAGCAUGGUCCUUACGCCCUGGGCCACACACACACUACAAUGGCGAAUAACAACGAGCAGCAAGUACGUAAGUGCAAGCAAAUCUCUAAAAUUUCGCCUCAGUUCAGAUUGGGGUCUGAAACCCGACCCCAUGAAGUCGGAAUCGGUAGUAAUCGCGGAUCAGCAAGCCGCGGUGAAUACGUUCUCGGGUCUUGUACACACCGCCCGU